rnacentral:rRNA from 1 species
GACGAACGCUGGCGGCGUGCCUAAUACAUGCAAGUAGAACGCUGAAGGAGGAGCUUGCCCUUCUGGAUGAGUUGCGAACGGGUGAGUAACGCGUAGGUAACCUGCCUGGUAGCGGGGGAUAACUAUUGGAAACGAUAGCUAAUACCGCAUAAGAGUAGAUGUUGCAUGACAUUUACUUAAAAGGUGCAAUUGCAUCACUACCAGAUGGACCUGCGUCGGAUUAGCAAGUUGGUGGGGUAACGGCUUACCAAGGCGACGAUUCAUAGCCGACCUGAUGGGGUGGUCGGCCACACUGGGACUGAGACACGGCCCAGACUCCUACGGGAGGCAGCAGUAGGGAAUCUUCGGCAAUGGACGGAAGGCUGACCGAGCAACGCCGCGUGAGUGAAGGAGGGUUUCGGAUCGGAAAGCUCUGUUGUAAGAGAAGAACGAGUGUGAGAGUGGAAAGUGCACGCUGUGACGGUAUCUAACCAGAAAGCGACGGCUAACUACGUG